rnacentral:rRNA from 1 species
CAGAGGGUGCAAGCGUUGUUCGGAAUUAUUGGGCGUAAAGCGCGUGUAGGCGGCUUUGCAAGUCGGGUGUGAAAUCCCUCAGCUCAACUGAGGAAGUGCGCCCGAAACUGCAGAGCUCGAGUGCCGGAGAGGGUGGCGGAAUUCCCCAAGUAGAGGUGAAAUUCGUAGAUAUGGGGAGGAACACCGGUGGCGAAGGCGGCCACCUGGCCGGUAACUGACGCUGAGACGCGAAAGCGUGGGUAGCAAACAGGAUUAGAUACCCUGGUAGUCCACGCCGUAAACGAUGAGAACUAGGUGUCGUGGGAGUUGACCCCCGCGGUGCCGUAGCUAACGCAUUAAGUUCUCCGCCUGGGAAGUACGGCCGCAAGGCUA